rnacentral:misc_RNA from 1 species
UUCUAAAAAAGUUAAAGUUGAUUUAGUGAUAUUUAUUCAUGCAUCAUAUUUCUGAACUUAUGCUGUAUUUACUCUCUCUAGAUUAUGUGGCUUAAUGUUGAAUUCAGGGAUUGUAUAAUGAAGUCAUAUCAUAUCAAAAUUAAAUUAUUGUAUAUUUGUAUUACUUCUGCUCAACCAUUUACGUCCUGCUAUUCGUACAUCAAUUUCUUACGUGAGGCUAGCAUGUGGCACAAUACUGUCCUGUUACCACUCUGGUCUGAAAAAUUAAUGGGGAUGGGUGUGGUUUCCUGG